GAAAAUUAAUCUAUCAAUUAAAUCACAUGAAAUUUUCAUUUUAUAAAUACAUGUAUUCAUAAUUAAUCAUGAACAAAAAAUCUUAACAAAAUAAUUUAAGGUCAUAGCCAAUACAGCACUAAAAAUACAAUAUAUGUGACCAAUUUGAAACUUCAUUUACAUCAAAGUAAAGUAUAUACAAUUUAUACAUCAGAUCAACAAAUAAAAACAGAGCUCAGCAUCAAGAAAUAAGAUCACCGAUUCCCAUACUGAUCUGAUCCCUAUAUUAUCCUGUAA